rnacentral:rRNA from 1 species
UACAGAGGUCUCAAGCGUUGUUCGGAUUCAUUGGGCGUAAAGGGUGCGUAGGUGGCGCUGUAAGUCGGGUGUGAAAUUUCGGAGCUUAACUCCGAAACUGCAUUCGAUACUGCGGUGCUUGAGGACUGGAGAGGAGACUGGAAUUCAUGGUGUAGCAGUGAAAUGCGUAGAGAUCAUGAGGAAGACCAGUGGCGAAGGCUGGUCUCUGGACAGUUCCUGACACUGAGGCACGAAGGCCAGGGGAGCAAACGGG